AGGAAAAAACUAACCAGGAUUCCCCUAGUAACGGCGAGUGAAGAGGGAAKAGCCCAGCACCGAAGCCUGCGGUACAUUUACUGUUAGGCAAUGUGGUGUUUGGGUCGGCUCGCGGGAUUGCCACUCCAGKGGAAGUCCASCAUURAGUAUGGUCCACUGGAUUUGGCCCAGAGAGGGUGAAAGGCCCGUACGGGUGGAGGUUUCAGACAAGUAAGGCAAUUCACUAAGCCGGCCUUAGAGUCGGGUUGUUUGGGAAUGCAGCCCAAAGUGGGUGGUAAACUCCAUCCAAGGCUAAAUACUAGCACGAGUCCGAUAGCAAACAAGUACCGUGAGGGAAAGUUGAAAAGUACUUUGAAGAGAGAGUAAACAGUACGUGAAACCGCAUGCAGGUAAACGGGUGGCGUCAAGCUGCAAGCCCAGAAGAUUCAGCCGGUUAAGUGUAGUUACGCGCUUGCGUGUCAAGGGCCAGUGUAAGAUUGGGUAGUUACUGRAAACAUGGGCCCUGCCCCAAGUGGGGUGUGUGUACCGGGCGGAAAGCGAGCACGCUACUCGUUGUUGGGCUAUCUARCCGGGGCACUUUCUCUGUUGGGAACACCACGACCGGUGGUACUGCCAGUCUGCUAUGGUCAAGUCGUAUUCGGUUGGUCCUUGUGGCCUACUGGGUGCGAUCACGGGCAAAUUCGGUGAACGGCGUUGAUGUGCUUUCGGGUGUGUCUUCGUGUUAUCGGCUGCCGGUUGCUUUAACGGGCCUGCCUGGCGAUGGUUCUAGCCCUCGUUGUGGUGGUCUGGUGGACCUUAGUGGUAAGAAUAACUGUGCAGGGCACCGGAGUGUUCGGCCUCAAAUGCAGCCAGCAUGCACGCUAUUAGUGUUGUAUGCGGGUGCUCUCGUGGUCCGCCUGUUGUCGGGUCUGAUUGUCGUGUUGCCUGCGCAAAGUGGGUUCGGCAGUGGCUCGGUGCAGGAUGGGCUUGCGUGGGGUGCCUGUAGUGUUGGUUGUAGUGGGCCUGAUAGUCAGUGGUGUAGUGGUAGACGAGCUACCCGACCCGUCUUGAAACACGGACCAAGGAGUUUAACAUGUGUGCAAGUCAAUGGGUCGUACGAAACCCAAAGGCGCAGUGAAAGUGAAGCUUCGGGCCUCGGUUCGGAGUGAGGUGAGAUCCUGUCGUUUCUCCACCAGCCCCUCGGUCAGAAGCAGGCGUUAAGAGCGGCGGGCGCAUCACCGGCCCGUCCCAUGAUGUGGUCAUUGGAAAAGRYUGCAGUUGGCUUMGGCUGGYUGUAGUACUMCC
rnacentral:rRNA from 1 species